UACGGAGGGUGCAAGCGUUAUCCGGAUUCACUGGGUUUAAAGGGUGCGUAGGCGGGCAGGUAAGUCCGUGGUGAAAUCUCUGAGCUUAACUCAGAAACUGCCAUGGAUACUAUUUGUCUUGAAUAUUGUGGAGGCAAGCGGAAUAUGUCAUGUAGCGGUGAAAUGCUUAGAUAUGACAUAGAACACCCAUUGUGAAGGCAGCUUGCUACACAAUGAUUGACGCUGAGGCACGAAAGCGUGGGGAUCAAACAGG
rnacentral:rRNA from 1 species